UCCCUGGUGGCUCAGAUGGUAAAGCGUCUGCCUGCAAUGCAGGAGACCCGGGUUCGAUUUCUGGAUCGGGAA
rnacentral:tRNA from 1 species